CACGUAGGGCGCAAGCGUUGUCCGGAAUUAUUGGGCGUAAAGAGCUCGUAGGUGGUUUGUUACGUCCGCUGUGAAAUCCUAGGGCUUAACCCUGGGCUUGCAGUGGAUACGGGCAGACUAGAGGUAGGUAGGGGAGAAUGGAAUUCCUGGUGUAGCGGUGAAAUGCGCAGAUAUCAGGAGGAACUCCGGUGGCGAAGGCGGUUCUCUGGGCCUUACCUGACACUGAGGAGCGAAAGCGUGGGGAGCGAACAGG
rnacentral:rRNA from 1 species